GCCUCAGGAGGCAGAACUCGUCACUGAAAUCUCCAAGUUACAAUGCAUGGUGUCGGAGCUGAAGUCGGGGUUUACCAGCGCCCUCCUGGAGCUCAGUCAGAUCCAGCAUGGAGAUACAUACCUGAGGGAGGAGAUGGAGGAGAACAGGAGGAGCUGCCAAAAGAAAGCCCUUCGUCUGGAGGCACUGGUCGAGGCACUGAGGGAGGAGCUCAGUGUGAUGCGAUGUCAGAUUUUGCAGCUUUACAGUAACAGACAGAGACCUCAGCAGGACGUGAA